CCUCUUUAACUGCUCCCCGUGAAAUAAUAAUUCAUUAUGUCACCAGGAGGGAAGAAAGGGAGUAUUUCGUGGAGCUGCCCCAUUCAAAGCCACCACCGGCGGCCUGGAGGAGCCCACAAAGCGGUGCACACAGCUGGGACUUGUCCACCGACACACUGAAAAGUCAACGCGCUUCAGGAAAAUAUUUCCAAAGAGUGUAUUCUUGGAGAGAUAACGUUCCAUUUUGUUUCUGAGAGGCAAAAACAAUCUCUAGUUUGAUUGUAAAACUAUUUCCUCCAAAUGUACAUUUUUAUCU